AUUGGUGCCAUAUUGUCUGCCCUGUUUGUUGGAGCGGGUCUUGCCAGAAUGCUUUUUGUCUGGCUGCUGCAGGGCAGCCUGGGGACAUGGAGAAGGACAGGGGCAUAAGGAAGGACUGGAACAUAAAACAAGAGAAGGAUGCUUCUCUUGGGGAGGGUGCGGUUCUGGGAGACAAUCAGGGAGUCAGUGGUGAACUUAGCCCUGGACCUUCCAGGCAGGAGCUGUUCACCAAACCAGAGCAUCUUCAAGAAAACAGUGGACAUUUGAUUUCUAAAACCAAAGACCCACAGGAACCAGGAUGGAAACGUCUGUGACAAUUCAAGAGAACAUGUUCCUGCUGGACAGAUUUCAGACACAGAAGCUCUAGUUACAUUUGAGACUGGUAACUUGAGUUAUUCUGAAGCUUCAAGAAAUGAAAGACUUGAAUCUCCUAUAGGAGAAUGGGGAUUCUGAAAAAGGACAAGAGAUAUCUGCUAAAGCAGCUACGUGUUUUGCAGAGAAGUUGCCUUCUAGCAACUUGCUCAUAGACAGAGCCAAAGAAGAAGUGAGUCUAGCACAAUUGGACUUGGCUGACUAUGAGAACUGGAAAAUGUUGUCUAGGCACUCUUCCUGGGGAGAUGCUGGUUUGGGUGGCAGUCUUGAGGCUCCAGGUUUAAACCUAAAGCAGGAAAUGGAUAAUGGCAGAAGUACUCUUGUGGAAGAAAGAGUGCAUGGGAAACAAAGAGGGUAGUAGCAAUAUCUUCAGAGUCUCAGCAAGUUGGUGUCAAGUUCCAGAUCCAUUAUAUCACAAGCAUGAUAUGCAAUUCAUCGCAGUAACUGGAAACCAUGAGAGUCUUGGGAGAUGGAACACUUACAUCACACCCUACUAUUGCAAGGGUGCAUUCUAGUCUCAUACUGUUUUCCUGCCAGCAGGUGCAGUGGCGGAGUGGAAGUUCAUGUUGGUAGAGAAUGGGAAAGCUAUCUGCUGGGAAAAAUGCUGCAAUAGAUUCCUAGAGAAUGGCCAUGAGGAUAAAGUGGUUCAUGCAUGGUGGGGA
rnacentral:lncRNA from 1 species